GGGGGGGGGGGGGGGGGGGGGGGGCGCAGGCGGGGCGGACGGUGACAGGCCUUCGGGGGCUGACGAGGGGCGAACGGGUGAGUAAUGCAUCGGAACGUACCCAGAGGUGGGGGCUAACGCAGCGAAAGCUGUGCUAAUACCCCAUGUGAUCUGAGCAUGAAAGCGGGGGACCGAGCCGCAAUGUUUGGCCUCGCGCCCUUGGAUCGGCCCAUGUCGGCUUAGCGAGUUGGUGGGGCACAGGCCUACAACGGCGCAGAUCCGUAGCUGGUCUGAGAGGACGACGAGCAACACUGAGACGGAGACAAGGCCCAGAAUCGUAGGGGAGGCAGCGGUGGGGAAUGUUGGACAAUGGGCGCAAGCCUGAUCCAGCAAUGCCGCGUGCGGGAAGAAGGCCUUCGGGUUGUAAACCGCUUUUGGCAGGAACGAAACGGUGUCCGCUAAUACCGGGCGCUAAUGACGGUACCUGCAGAAUAAGCACCGGCUAACUACGUG
rnacentral:rRNA from 1 species